rnacentral:rRNA from 1 species
GACAGAGGGUGCAAACGUUGCUCGGAAUUACUGGGCGUAAAGCGUGCGCAGGCGGCUAUGCAAGACAGAUGUGAAAUCCCCCGGGCUCAACCUGGGAACUGCAUUUGUGACUGCAUGGCUAGAGUACGGUAGAGGGGGAUGGAAUUCCGCGUGUAGCAGUGAAAUGCGUAGAUAUGCGGAGGAACACCGAUGGCGAAGGCAAUCCCCUGGACCUGUACUGACGCUCAUGCACGAAAGCGUGGGGAGCAAACAGG